UCUUGUGUUGAGGAAAAUGCCUAUAUGCGAGUAUUGCAGUGCUAUAAGGUUACCAAAUGAGGGUCUCAAUUUUUAUUGCAGGCAAGGAAAAGUUAAUAUAGUGAGCACAUCAAUUCCUCCUGAUCUUCGUCACCUAUUUACAAGCCAGUCAGAUAGAGAUGCCUUGUAUUUCAAAAAGAAUAUACAAUACUUCAAUUCUCAUUUCUCGUUCACAACCUUUGGAGCUAAUGUGAACCAUAAAGUCGCUACUGCAGCUGGUACUGGUAUAUAUACUUUCAAAGUGCAUGGACAGAUUUAUCACAGAUUGGACCAACUCAGACCGGG